ACUCCCUUAGCUCAGCGUGUAGAGCACUUCCCUUACAAGGAAGGGGUCAUUGGUUCGAAUCCAAUAGGGAGUACCA
rnacentral:tRNA from 1 species